AAGAAACAUCCCUCAGUGAUACCACUUAUGGUAUACAUCAUGAACAAGGAGAAGCACAUGGAACGGUUUGCGGUCCGCGCAAAGUACAUGACGCUUGACCUGGCGAAGAACAGAUACGUUAAAUACAUCCAGAACAUCAGAGCGAUCCAGGAGUACCUCUGCAACCGGGCCGACAAGCAUCAAGUGCCAAAAAUCAACAACACCAAUGUAGACUGGAAAAUGGCGGCCAUACACGCCACGGUUUUCAUCUGCCUUCGCCGGCGUGAGGCCAGGGAGCAGUUUUAUGACUCGCAUACAAACACUGCAGUUAUGGUGGAUGAGGAGUAUAGGAGCCAGUGCGCCGCAAACUCGUUGAGUUCCAAGGGCAUGUUUCAGUUGAUUCAGAGGCAAGGGUCCUCUAGAAAUCUGAUGGCUCUGCUUAACACUGAUGGUUCAGUUGCUAAGGCAUGGCCCAUGAAUGCCGGCGACAGCAGUGGAAACAUGAAUGAUGGCAGCAGUGAGAAAUCCGUUGGAAAUCCUAUGUAUGGCCCUUAGCAAAUAGGGAAGGCAGAGCCUGUCAAUCUUCAGUUUGGCCCGUUUGGGAUUGGUGCGUGGCCAAGUGAUACCGGAUGCGCCAGUCAUGCUGGGAGUGUCGAUGACUCCAAGGCUGAUGGCAAUACAGGGAGCGGGUAUUUAUCCUCGUGCUGCAGCUCACCUAAGAUGUCAGAUGACAAUUCCAAAGAGGUUUGUCUCUUCUAA
rnacentral:rRNA from 1 species